UGCUGCGAUCAUACCAGCACUAAUGCACCGGAUCCCAUCAGAACUCCGCAGUUAAGCGUGCUUGGGCGAGAGUAGUACUAGGAUGGGUGACCCCCUGGGAAGUCCUCGUGUUGCAACCC
rnacentral:rRNA from 1 species